rnacentral:rRNA from 1 species
AUACGGAGGAUCCGAGCGUUAUCCGGAUUUAUUGGGUUUAAAGGGUGCGCAGGCGGGAGAUUAAGUCGGCGGUGAAAUUUUGCAGCUCAACUGUAAAAGUGCCUUCGAAACUGGUUUUCUUGAGUGUAGAUGAAGUAGGCGGAAUUUGUGGUGUAGCGGUGAAAUGCAUAGAUAUCACGAGGAACUCCGAUUGCGCAGGCAGCUUACUAAGCUACAACUGACGCUCAUGCACGAAGGCGUGGGGAUCAAACAGGAUUAGAUACCCUGGUAGUCCACGCAGUAAACGAUGAUUACUCGCUGUUUGCGAUAUACGGCAAGCGGCUUAGCGAAAGCGUUAAGUAAUCCACCUGGGGAGUACGUUCGCAAGAAUGAA